ensembl:snRNA U2 U2 spliceosomal RNA
AUCACUUCUCGGCCUUUUGGCUAAGAUCAAGUGUAGUAUAAAUAUAUUGGCUAAAUGAACAAAACUCUCUAAAGCAAGUUUUCCUUUAUUCAGUUUGCUACAGAAAUGCACAAGACAAUGGAAGCUACAGGAGUUUCCUUACUCAGCAGCA